rnacentral:sRNA from 2 species
GAAAAGCGUUAGGGAUUGCAGCGGCAUCCUUUUUUGGGCGGCCCUGCCGACCAAAAAAGAUACAGCGGAAAGCCCGUCCCGAU